rnacentral:lncRNA from 1 species
CUAAAAACAAAUCAUUAAGUAUUAUCUAAAGUCAAAUUGCACCAACUGUCUGACUGAGGCUGGUCCAAGUCUGGCCUUAUCAGCAUUCAGCACCACUGCCCCAGGAUGGAUGAGGAAACAGAACACCACUAAAGGGUAAGCCAGAGACAGAGGGCCCCUGUUCUUGUUUGUUCUGCAAAGCCCUUUAUGUUCUUCUGGAAGAUAGAAAAAGAUAUAUCUGACUGAGAAACAGAACUUUUCACUAUCUUUGAUCAACUGGCUAGAAGAUGUCUCUUUUUCUCUCACUUCUGCUCUUUGCAGGCACUGCAGGAACUCACAUCUCCUGGCAUUGGGAUUGGCAUGGUGUUCAAGGCUGCUCGUCUGCAGGCCAGUACUACCUUCCAGGCAUGUGAUGCAUGGAUAAAUAUGGGCUGUUUCACCAGAGAGACAGUACCCCAGACAUUGUUGAGAAGUCUCCCAGCUCUCUCCUGGAUGCCUCUUCAUGGGAUCCAGCUACCGUUCUAGACAGGAACUUGUGUGAUCCAAAAAUGUCAUGUACCUGCCCUUUAACAACACUGCUUCUUGACAUGUUCUGCUUUCUAGAAGCAGGUUCAUGCCCUGUGAUUGUUAGAUAUAUCACAGCAAUGGGCCCACAGAGUGAUAGAGUGGAU